GCCUUCUCCUCUCCCUCCGCCCUUCCCCCUCUGCUCUGAGAGACUAGCCCCGCCCUACAGUGACGUCACUGUACCCACCCUCUCUCACCAUCUUGGAAGUCUUUGUCUCUGGUGGAGGCUAUGAGUGGGGUGAGCAGCUGGAGGUCCGAGUGCCCCCCCACUUUCCUUCUCCACACCCCUCCCCUCCGUUACCCCCAUCUUCCAGACUGACAGAUCCGGAGGGUCCUGCAAGUGUCGAAGUGUCUGUGAGCGAGGGCCUGGUGAAUGGGGAGUUUCCACGUACUUUGCUGUGGAACAGAAAGAGGGGACUGUUCCUGAACCUGCGGAUCUCUGUGAUUUACAGCCUGAAAGAAAAGAGUUGUUUUAAUGUGCACUUCUCUAAUUACAAGGAAUUUGGAGCA